UACAGAGGGGGCAAGCGUUGUUCGGAAUUACUGGGCGUAAAGGGCGCGUAGGCGGCCUUCUAAGUCAGACGUGAAAUCCCUCGGCUCAACCGGGGAACUGCGUCCGAUACUGGCGAGCUUGAAUCCGGGAGAGGGAUGCAGAAUUCCAGGUGUAGCGGUGAAAUGCGUAGAUAUCUGGAGGAACACCGGUGGCGAAGGCGGGUCUCUGGGCAACAACUGACGCUGAGGAGCGAAAGCGUGGGGAGCGAACAGG
rnacentral:rRNA from 1 species